GACUGAGCCACCCAAGUGCCCCAGCCACGAAGUAUUUUUUAAUUAAGGUAUAUGCAUUUUUUUAAAGACGUGAUACUACUGCACAUCUAAGAGACUACAGGAGAGUGUAAACAUAACUUCUAUAUGCUCUGGGAAACCAAAACAUCUGGCAGGUUUUACUUCAGUGACCUGGGACCGAACUGGCGGCAUCUCCGAGGUGUGCCUGUGAAGGGCAGGGAAGGAGAGAGAUUCUACUGUCCACCUAUGACCACUUCUUCACUUCCCUCUUCCAAUAAGGACAUAGGAUGGCCCAACUAAAGUACUUACUUAUUUUAUAGGCAUCUGGUUUAAUCUUUAUUCCUUUGCUGCUGCCAUGCUCCUCUGGGCUCCCCUUCUCCUUGUAGCACCCAAAGCAGAGUUGACAAUGAUGUUCGUAGCUGUGGUGGCCACAUAGAUCCCGCCGACUUCUUCCGGACGCUUCUAUCAGGUGCCCUUCCAGGAGCCUCAGACCCACCAUUUCCUGAACAGAACUCCUUGUCUUCCCCCCAGACCGGCACUGCUCUGGCCUCAGUGGCCGGAGGAGGCACCCCCUUCCCAGAUGAGGGAGGCAGGAAUCACCAUCCUCUCGAUAUUUCUGAAUUGGCAAAAUGGUCAGGGCCUCUGGCUUUGUGUUAAAGUCCUGGCUCUGCCUCUCACUAGGUGUGUGGUCUUGUGGCUGUUUCCUCACCUUUCUUAGUCUCGGUUCUUGCAUUUAUUAAAUGGGUAUAAAGAAUAAAGACAAAGCCCUUUGUAAAGCCCUUAGCAAGUGGCCGGCACAUAGGGCACCUGUGUGGUAAGAGAUGUUGUCAUUACUACUAACACUGUCCUCUACAGACCUUCAUCGUCUUGUGUCUGAGCUGGGUCUUGGGCUUGCUUGCCUCUAGCCUCCUCUCUUGAAGCCUCCCUCCCAAGUAGCAACCAGGAUGAGCUCAGCAUUGUACACAGAAGACCAUUAUCAGUCUCCUGCUUAAAGCUCUGUGGUCUGCUGCCACACGGGCUAGUCCCCACGCUCAGCGUCCUGCGGACACCUCCCGUCGUAUCGCCCACCCGUUCUGCUUCAAUUUCAUGGUCAGAGACACUAAACUCUGAGACUCCUGCCUCAUCUGCGUCCCAGCACCAGCUCCAACACACACACGGUGCUGCUGCUCAUCACGGCUCCUCUGCUCCUAGGAGUACCUCGGUCCCUGCAUUUGCCAUACUGUAGUUUAGGACCUGCUGGUAUGUCUGUCACCUGUCAGAGACGAAGCUUCUUGGGGGUAGGAAUUUUGUUUGGAUCCUUUAGAUAUUCAAAACCCAGUGAAGUCCCUGGUCCUCAGUGGGUGCACAGUAAAUGUUUGCUGCAUGACUUACCGAGUAUCAACACCAAGUGAAAGUCUUUACAGAACAGGUUACUGCUGACCCUUACGACAAACUUGGAGAGUAAGUACCAGUAUGCCCAUUUCACUGAUGGGGAAACUGAAGCUCAGAGAGGUUACGUUUGAUCAAGGUUAAGGUGGCUACGUCUGGAUUCAAACCCAGAUCUUCUGACUCCUAACCCAUAUUCCUACUGCUGCACCACAGCGUGUUGUUAAGCAAAAAUAAAGCCUUCCCGGGGGCUCAUGGAAGGUGCUUGGGAAUCACUGUUGGCUGCUUUCCAAAGCCUUGAGAGCUGGCUCAGCCCCACCGCUGUGGGGCUGUGGGACUCCAACUGAAGAGCUCUUUUUCAGUCCCCUUCCUUAAAGUCUGCAGUAGUGAUGGAGUCUAUUUCCCAAGCUGCCUCCUUCUGCUUUCCUUCUUUGGCUCCUCCCCCUACCUACAAAAUGUGGACACUCUCGCUGCUUCCCCGUUUGCAUUUCUGUUGCCUACACCCUCCUUCUGAUCUCAGUCCCUGUCCCUGUCCUGUGGCAGAGAUGACCACCAGAUUGCUAUGCCCCGCCCCCCAAGCGACAUAUGGCCAGCGGGGGACUCCCCGUCCAGGUCCCCUGCAUGUGGGUGGGGUCAAGAGGCUGAGGUCCGGCCGAUGCAAUAUCUGGCUCCGGAAAACCACCUCUGAGAUCCUCCAUGUUCUGUGGUAGAUGGUUGUCUACUGAAGGGUGAGCCUCACAGCUUCCCUCAGUCAGGAUCCUUGCAUUACCACAGGAUCAGAGCCCCACAGGUUGGCGUUCUGUGAGCAAGAAAUGAACUUCUGGUGUGUAUCUCAGGCUGGGGAGGCUGUUGCAGUAGCCAGGAGGCCUCCACUAAGACCCCUAACUGACCUUCGUGUUCCUGGGCUCUCCCUACCCCAGAAGCCUCCUCAUUCCCCUCUCCCCUAUAUCCCAUUGCUAACCCAGUCUUCCUUCAGUCCAUCUGGGGCGUGUCCCUGUCUUGCCCCCAAGUCUUCAGCGACCUCCUUCUCAUCUACAGACACAAGGACAAGCUUCUGGAAGAGGCAUGGAGACCUCAAGCCCCUGGCUUUUUCUCAUGUGAAAUCAGAAUACUCAGAGUUGCCCAAAUGUAUCCUGCCCAUGCUCAUGUUUUCUGUCUUCGUCAAAAUCCCUCAUUUAGAAUCCCUCCUUCUCUGACUUUUCGGGUCAUCCGGCCAUACCAACUGAGGAGCGCCUACCGUCCUCUGCCUGUGUGUCACCCAGGGCCCUCCCUGUCUGUCCCACCCUGCAGGUGUGUGUGCUCACUCCUACUGGACUGUUGGCGCCCCGAGCACAAGCCCAGGCCCCCACCGUCACCCCUGGGCCAGCCAGAGCCCCCUCCCUGCCCACCCCCCCAGGCAAGCCUCCAUCUUUCUUUCUCGAGGGUGAGGCCGGGGAUUGUGGAGUAUACACAACCAGCUCAUCCAUCUUCCUCCUCCCAACACACUCACAGGGCUGGCUGGGUGACCUUUUGCAUCUGUGGAUUCCCCUCACGUUCUCUCUCUCUUUUUUUUCUUUUCCAACACGGGGUCUUGGAGCUUGCUCUGAGGCCUGGCCGGGCUGGGAAGAAGUUGUCUGCUCUGUUAUAUUUAGGCUAGCAGAGCCAUCAAUCCAAGCCUUGUUUCAGCUGGAUCCCCCAGCACGUCCCCACCCACUCCUAACGAGAGGCCGAUCGCCUCCUCCGGGUCGCAGGCUCCAUUUCCGACCUUCACGUGGCCCACACAUGUGUGAGCGUGUGGUAGAUGUCGGUGAACGCUCGCCCUCCCCGGCCACGUUCAAAGGAGGGUCUCUCUCCUCUUCAGGCCUUCCUUCGCUGGGACUUUUCUCUCCUUCUGUCCUGAGGAUCUUGUGACCUUCUUCAAGCCCUCUUCCCUCCCAGAUUAGCCAGCAGCAAACCUCGUUGAUGGGGAAAACACGGCCUCCUCCAGAGCUUCUCGGUCCUGUCUUUCUCCUUGCCCACAGGGCGGCUGCCCUGGCGGUCAUGGGGGAGAAGCAGGCAGAAGACAAAGACCAGACACUGAAGCAGAAAGCAGGGUUGGCAGUCAGCUAGAACGUGGGAGGAAGGGCCCGCGCAUGAACACGCCUCGUGAGCCGCUUGUGCGUGUCUGCGGGUGUGCACACGCGUGUGGAGCGCACCCAGGGGGCACGAGAGGCCGCGCACGGGAACACUGGGGCCGACCCUUCCUACUCCUUGACUUGGCGACUGCAGCCCUGGUUCGUUUCCAUCCCCACUGAUGAAACGCUUCUUUAUGUCUUAUUCACAUCCUGUCUUGACUACCACAAUUGUCUCCUUGCCGGGCCCACAUGUCUCUCAUCACCAAUGGGAUCCAAAUGUUGCUGACAAAAUAAUCUCGCUGCCUUUGGGCUGCAGUCACAUUCCUCCCCUUUUCCAAAGUUUUCUCCGUCUCCCAUCCCUGGGCGAAUCGCGCACACGGACCACCGCCUCUCUCUGCGUCUCCGUUUCCCCCUCGGCUCCCGCUCCCGGUCCUCUCUCUGUUUUUUCUAUGGGCUCCUUUCCCUCCUCUGGCUAUUCCUGGGCUCCCGGCUCAGGCGGGCCUGUGCCGGUUUCCUGGCACGAGCUCCCUGCACUGUGUGCUCUGUCAGCCAAUGUUUAUGGAGAGUGACAGGCACUCUUCUAGGCACUGGAGUGAAGCAAGAUACAAAACUGAGGACAGCGGUCAGCAAAGAAAAACAGAAUGGCCUGUCGAGGACUGAUUGUAUUUUGAAGUCGUCUCUACACCCAGCAUGGGCCUCACACCUCCAGCCCCAAGAUGAAGAGCCGUACCGUAUGCUCCCCUGACGGAGCCAGCUAGGCACCCCCAUUUUUAUCUUAUUAAUGUGGCUAUUACAAAAUAUAAAAUUGCAUA